AUGUACCCUAUGAACACGGCCAAAUGGACCUCCCAGAUGACGGCGGUGAAGCCACCCACAGUCGAGGACGUAUUCUACAUGGUGGGACUUCUUCGGUCGGCUCUAUCCGCCGAUGAACUAGAGCACCUACAGAGGGAGAACCAAUCGGUGUUGGCAUUUUGUGACAAGGAGGGCAUCGAGUGCAAGCACUAUCUGCCACACUACACAUCACAAGAUGGAUGGCGGCGACAUUUUGGGGCCAAGUGGAGCAACAUCGCUCAGCUCAAGAACAAAUAUGAUCCCCACAUGAUAAUGUCACGGGGGCAGAGAAUUUUCCCCUUGCCAACUGUGCCAGCGGCAAGCAUGGCGACCACAUAG
rnacentral:rRNA from 1 species